rnacentral:rRNA from 1 species
CUCAUAGGCGGCCAACUAAGUCAGACGUGAAAUCCCUAGGCUCAACCUAGGAACUGCGUCUGAUACUGGAUGGCUUGAAUCCGGGAGAGGGAUGCAGAAUUCCAGGUGUAGCGGUGAAAUGCGUAGAUAUCCGGAGGAAUACCGGUGGCGAAGGCGGCAUCCUGGACCGGCAUUGACGCUGAGGAGCGAAAGCCAGGGGAGCAAACG